GCUUUGGUGGCAUAGUGGCAGCACGCAUCCCCGGUAUCGAUGAAACGCGGGUUCGACUCCCGCCAGAGGUCG